ACGGCAGCACGGRYUUCGGYCUGGUGKCGAGUGGGGAACGGGUSARUAAUACAUCGGAACAUGUCCUGUAGUGGGGGUASCCCGGCGAAAGAARAUUAAUACCMCAUACGCUCUAGGGAUAAGAGGGGGUCUCUUGGACCUCUCGCUAUAGGUUGGCGAAGGGGAAUWGUAGUGGGAGGAAAAGGCCUACCGAUGGCUGAUUAGCUAGUUGGUAGGGUAAAAGCCUACCAAGGCGACGAUCAGUAGCUGGUCUGAGAGGACGACCAGCCACACUGGGACUGAGACACGGCCCAGACUCCUACGGGAGGCAGCAGUGGGGAAUUUUGGACAAUGGGCGAAAGCCUGAUCCAGCAAUGCCGCGUGUGUGAAGAAGGCC
rnacentral:rRNA from 1 species